rnacentral:rRNA from 1 species
AUGCAAACUAUGGGUAUGAGUCAACCAGAACGUACUACAUAUGAAGCAGAGGCCAUUUCUACAUUGAUAGCUGAGACACAAUCAAGCCAGAGACCGAUUGUGCAACCAACUGCUUUACCAGAAAAUGCUUUCAUUCAAGGAAAUGUCCAAAUGCAGCCCCGAGUGCACGAGACAACUGCCACAAUCCAUGGAAAUGUUCAUAGGAAGAGAGAGGUGUUAGCUUUGGCCAAAUUGAAAGCAGGAGCCGAGACAAGGGACGUAGCGGAUCAAGCCAAAUUUGAUGCAGCCAUGGCAAAGCUUAAAGAAGAAGAGAAUAAACUAAUGCUAGCAGCUGAGCAGAGAAAACAAGAGCUGCAAGAAAAGAGGAAAGUUGCUGAAGAGAAAAAAAAAGCAAUGUUGGAGCAGAAAAAAUUAGAAGCUGAGGCAAGAAAAAUAGCUGCUGAAGAAAAAAAGGAAAGCUCAAGAGGAGAAAUUUGCACGUGCAGAGGCAAAAAGGUUAGCUAUGCAAGCAAAAAAAAGAGAAGCAGCAGAGGCAAAGCAAAAGAAGGCAGAAGAAAAAAAAGAAUUCAAGAAGAGAGAGGCAGAAGAAGCAUAUGCAAGGGAGGAAAUGAACUUUAUUUUCAUGCAGCAAGAUGA